rnacentral:rRNA from 1 species
CGCUGGGCGGGGUGCUUUACACAUGCAAGUCGAACGAUGAAGCCCACUUGUGGGUGGAUUAGUGGCGAACGGGUGAGUAACACGUGAGUAACCUGCCCUUGACUCUGGGAUAAGCCUGGGAAACUGGGUCUAAUACCGGAUAUGACCUUCCAUCGCAUGGUGGUUGGUGGAAAGCUUUUGUGGUUUUGGAUGGACUCGCGGCCUAUCAGCUUGUUGGUGGGGUAAUGGCCUACCAAGGCGACGACGGGUAGCCGGCCUGAGAGGGUGACCGGCCACACUGGGACUGAGACACGGCCCAGACUCCUACGGGAGGCAGCAGUGGGGAAUAUUGCACAAUGGGCGGAAGCCUGAUGCAGCGACGCCGCGUGAGGGAUGACGGCCUUCGGGUUGUAAACCUCUUUCAGUAGGGAAGAAGCGUAAGUGACGGUACCUGCAGAAGAAGCGCCGGCUAACUACGUGCCAGCAGCCGCGGUAAUACGUAGGGCGCAAGCGUUAUCCGGAAUUAUUGGGCGUAAAGAGCUCGUAGGCGGUUUGUCGCGUCUGCCGUGAAAGUCCGGGGCUCAACUCCGGAUCUGCGGUGGGUACGGGCAGACUAGAGUGAUGUAGGGGAGACUGGAAUUCCUGGUGUAGCGGUGAAAUGCGCAGAUAUCAGGAGGAACACCGAUGGCGAAGGCAGGUCUCUGGGCAUUAACUGACGCUGAGGAGCGAAAGCAUGGGGAGCGAACAGGAUUAGAUACCCUUGGUAGUCCAUGCCGUAAACGUUGGGCACUAGGUGUGGGGGACAUUUCCACGUUUUUCCGCGCCGU